rnacentral:snoRNA from 1 species
AAGAUCAUACUUCACAGGAUCAUUUCUGUAGUGUAUCUUACUUUCCCUCUUACCUAAGUAAGAGUGCAAGCAACCACGAUGAGGAGGCACAGCUUUCUUCCCCGAGCGUGAGGAAGACUCGAGAAGUUGACUUUUGUUUCAAGUUCUCAGUCAUCGAUGAUCGUUCACCCCUUGUACUAACCUUGUACUAAGUACGAGGGGGUCGGGAAGUGCAGCUUUCUGAGUGGC